rnacentral:rRNA from 1 species
UACGAAGGGGGCUAGCGUUGCUCGGAAUCACUGGGCGUAAAGGGUGCGUAGGCGGGUCUUUAAGUCAGGGGUGAAAUCCUGGAGCUCAACUCCAGAACUGCCUUUGAUACUGAAGAUCUUGAGUUCGGGAGAGGUGAGUGGAACUGCGAGUGUAGAGGUGAAAUUCGUAGAUAUUCGCAAGAACACCAAUGGCGAAGGCAGCUCGCUGGGACGGUACUGACGCUGAGGCGCGAAAAGCGUGGGGAGCAAACAGG